rnacentral:rRNA from 1 species
UACGUAGGGACCGAGCGUUGUCCGGAAUCAUUGGGCGUAAAGAGCGUGUAGGCGGCCAACUAAGUCCUGCGUGAAAUCUCGGGGCUCAACCCCGAGCGGUCGUGGGAAACUGGUUGGCUAGAGUGCGGGAGAGGAGAGUGGAAUUCCUGGUGUAGCGGUGAAAUGCGCAGAUAUCAGGAAGAACACGCGUGGCAAAGGCGGCGCUGUGGAACGCAACUGACGCUGAGACGCGAAAGCGUGGGGAGCAAACAGG